rnacentral:rRNA from 1 species
GGUUCAUUCAAAUUUCUGCCCUAUCAACUUUCGACGGCUGGGUCUUGGCCAGCCAUGGUGACAACGGGUCAACGGAGGGUAGGGCUCGACCCCGGAGAAGGAGCCUGAGAAACGGCUACUACAUCCAAGGAAGGCAGCAGGCGCGCAAAUUACCCAAUCCCGACCGGGGAGGUAGUGACAAUAAAUACUGAUACAGGGCUCUUCUGGGUCUUGUAAUUGGAAUGAGUACAAUUUAAAUCCCUUAACGAGGAACAAUUGGAGGGCAAGUCUGGUGCCAGCAGCCGCGGUAAUUCCAGCUCCAAUAGCGUAUAUCAAAGUCGUCACGGUUAAAAAGCUCGUAGUUG